UACGGGGGGGGCAAGCGUUGUUCGGAAUUACUGGGCGUAAAGGGCUUGUAGGUGGCCAACUAAGUCAGACGUGAAAUCCCUCGGCUUAACCGGGGAACUGCGUCUGAUACUGGUUGGCUUGAGUGCAGGAGAGGAACGCGGAAUUCCAGGUGUAGCGGUGAAAUGCGUAGGGAUCCGGAAGAACACCGGUGGCGAAGGCGGCCUGCUGGGCAGUGGCUGACACUGAGGCGCGACAGCGUGGGGAGCAAACAGG
rnacentral:rRNA from 1 species